UAUCCACGCGAAUCUCCGCUCACAUACACAAAAAUUAGGGCAAUGUUUGGCUAUUUGGCUUUCUUUUGCAUGCAAGUGAGCAUCAGCAGAGCUUGAUGAGUCUUGUAGUCUGGACUCUGGAGUAGCCUUUUUGUUUGUUCCUUACUUGGGAUGUAGUUUAUUGUCUUAUCCAUGCCCAAUUCUUUCUCGUCGCAUGGAAUGGACACGAUAGAUUAGUAUAUAUACGAUAAAUAUAUAGAAAGAAGGAAAAGCACACUCGACUCCGACUCGACGGAUAAUUCCUUUGUGAAACCCUAAAGGACCACAAAAUUCCCACCAUUUCAAUUCCUCUUCGAUCCCUUAGACCUCUGAAAUCUCACAAGCCGAACCUAGUAUUCUCUUUUGUUAACUUUUUUUUCUUCUCUUCCUGUUUAUUUUGCUAAUUAGGGCUGUUUCGAAUCUACUUCGUUUCAUCCGGUAUUGUUCAAAGUUCCCCAUGGAUGCUCAGAGAGCUCUUCUAGAUGAACUCAUGGGUGCAGCUCGUAAUCUCACCGAAGAGGAGAAAAAGAGUUACAAAGAAAUUCGCUGGGACGAUAAGGAGGUUUGCGGGUUCUACAUGGUUCGGUUUUGCCCGCAUGAUCUGUUCGUGAAUACUAAAAGUGAUCUCGGACCUUGCCCUAGAAUUCACGAUCAGAAACUGAAAGAAAGCUUUGAGAAGUCUCCAAGACAUGAUUCUUUUGUUCCCAAGUUUGAGGCAGAACUUGCUCAGUUUUGCGAGAAACUGGUAUAUGAUCUGGAUAGAAAGGUUAGGCGUGGUCGGGAACGCCUUGCUCAAGAGGUUGAAGUUACACCCCCUGCUCCAAUCUCUACAGAAAAAUCUGAGCAGCUGUCUGUGCUGGAGGAGAAAAUUAAGAACCUGUUGGAGCAAGUGGAGUCCCUAGGGGAAGCAGGCAAGGUGGAUGAAGCAGAGGCACUCAUGAGGAAGGUGGAGAUGCUUAAUGCUGAGAAGACAGCAUUGACUCAACCACAGAAUGACAAGGUCUUGAUGCUUACACAGGAGAAGAAGAUGGCACUUUGUGAGAUCUGUGGUUCUUUCCUAGUAGCAAAUGAUGCUGCAGAAAGGACACAAUCUCAUGUGACAGGAAAGCAGCAUAUUGGUUAUGGGAUGGUCCGUGAUUUCAUUACUGAGUACAAGGCAACUAAGGAGAAAGCAAGAGAAGAUGAAAGACUAGCAAGGGAGAAAGAAGCAGAAGAACGGAGAAAGCGGAGGGAGAAGGAAUAUGAGAGUAGAAGUAGAAGUGAUUCAAGGGAGAGAGAGAGGUACCAUGACAAGGAUCGAGAGAGGGAGCGAGAUAGAUACCGAGAGCGGGAAAGAUCCCGAGAGUGGAGUGGAAGAGCAAGCAGGGAUGGGGGAAGAGGGAUGGAUAGGAAUCACCAUGGAAAUGGAAGAGACUGGGGUAGGGACAGGUAUCGCGAUCGAAAUGGAAGUAUGGACAGGCGUGAAAGGGGCCGAGAGAGAAGCAGAUCAUGCUCCCCUUCUAGGCAUGGUCACAGAAGGUCAUCAAGAAGCCCAAUCCACACAAGUUAAUGGAUAGUGUAGAUAGAUGACUGGUUUUUGAAAUCAAACGAGGUAGACAUUUUCUAUCUCAGACUUCUUUUCUCAAUGUGCGCUUUCGAGUCCCAAGUAAAAAUGUCAUCAUGGGUGGAACUCUUUUUUUUCUCAGAGCUCUGUUGAUAAGUAUACCAUCUCCCUGUCAUCAAUAUUUUAGAGGACAAAGGGUUGAGAGCUUUUUUGUUUGGUCAUCGUGUAUCCCAAAUUCUUGAGUAGUUAAGAUGACAGAUCCAAAAUAUUUGCCUGAAUGAUGCUGCUGCUGUGGAAGGUGAUGGUUUUUUCUCAACCUUUUGGAGGUAACAUAUAAAUCUCAACUCUGUCAUGGGCAAAAUGUAGAGUGAAAUUCCCCAAACCAUUAAUAAUUUGGGGUGCCUGCCCUUUCUGUCCUUGAUUAUCCUUGCUGCAUAAAAUGCCGUGUGCCCAUGAUUCUAUGUGACAAGGGUUUAUUAUAGCAGUCACAUGGAUCCAGUAACUGUUUACCUAUGGCAUGCUGGGCAUUAAAGCAUUUUGUAUUCCUCCCUUUUUAUCUCCUUUUCUUUUUCUUAUUACCAGCAAUGACUUGUCAUCCUUUAAAGAUGAGGAGGCUUCUGCUUCCUCGUUUUAUCUUAGAAGCCAACCUUGGGGAAAAGGCAUUUUCAGAAUGCUUUGUCUUUUAUUGGCAUGGAGAGCAUGUUGUAUCUUCAAGUAUUGGUAUACUACAAAGAUUCCUUGUAGAACCUGAAUUUUUAGCACCUUGACCAUCUCUUUAAAAACGAAUUAAUACCAAAAAAUGGCAUUUAUGUAUCAUUGUAUUUGGCUCUAGCCUGCUUCAUGUUUUGUGUCAAGGACAGAUGAAGCUUAUUCAUUAGCCAGAAUAAUCAAAUCGGUUGAUCAUGAUAUCUUGGCUCAACAACUUUAUGUUGGCCCUCUCCCAUAUCUUUGCAGGGAAAUGGGAUACAAAGGUUUAUUUUCAAAGGGGCUGGUAGAGCUCUUCUUCCUGAGAAGUGCUUUUUUUUUUUAUGUCCUGGAGGUAUAUCCUUAUUGUUCUGCAGAGUGGAAUCUUUCAACUAUUAGCCGCAGGCAAAACAGGUUCUCCGUCAAACCGACUGACAUCAGGUUCUUUGCAAGUGUAGUAGUGCGGUAAAAAUAGUUGGGCCAUCUAUAUUUUGAAGCAGGCUUUCUGUUCAACCGCAAUGGAAUUAUGUCAGCUGCUUUAAUGAAGUGUGCUUAUGUCAAGUUUUUAGUCUGUGCUGCCUGUUAUCUGGGUUGGUUGUGCUCAAAUCCUCUUUAAUUGAUAUGUCCUCGCUUGCUUGAGCUCAUGUAAACUAAUUGGCAAUAUUCCGAGCAGCGAAGUACUAAUGUUUAGCCCAUGUUUUUCGAGGUUUUUAAUCAAGCGCGUGGUCACUAAAAUACACAUUUGAAGUGUUGGGUACUUGCUCUGUUACUGCGAUUAAUUUAUUUAUUUUUCAGAA